AAACAAGAAAAUAAUGCAUUUCCAAUAUUGACUUUUCAACCAUUAAUGAGGACCAAUAGAAAUCAGCCAUGUGUAUACCAAUUUAGCACAAUAAAAACAAAACAAAUAACAAGUAGGACAUAUAACAACAUUAUUUUACUCAAAAACAAAAAAAUUAUCUCUCUCUUUUACUCACCCCCUCUAACAAUGAAGAAAGAAAAAAUACAGAGAAAAAUUCCUUUAUCUCCUUCCUCGAUCUCUCUCGUUUGGCUUU
rnacentral:lncRNA from 1 species